AUGAUGAACGCUAGCUACAGGCUUAACACAUGCAAGUCGAGGGGCAGCAUGGUCUUAGCUUGCUAAGGCCGAUGGCGACCGGCGCACGGGUGAGUAACACGUAUCCAACCUGCCGUCUACUCUUGGACAGCCUUCUGAAAGGAAGAUUAAUACAAGAUGGCAUCAUGAGUCCACAUGUUCACAUGAUUAAAGGUAUUCCGGUAGACGAUGGGGAUGCGUUCCAUUAGAUAGUAGGCGGGGUAACGGCCCACCUAGUCUUCGAUGGAUAGGGGUUCUGAGAGGAAGGUCCCCCACAUUGGAACUGAGACACGGUCCAAACUCCUACGGGAGGCAGCAGUGAGGAAUAUUGGUCAAUGGGCGAGAGCCUGAACCAGCCAAGUAGCGUGAAGGAUGACUGCCCUAUGGGUUGUAAACUUCUUUUAUAAAGGAAUAAAGUCGGGUAUGCAUACCCGUUUGCAUGUACUUUAUGAAUAAGGAUCGGCUAACUCCGUGCCAGCAGCCGCGGUAAUACGGAGGAUCCGAGCGUUAUCCGGAUUUAUUGGGUUUAAAGGGAGCGUAGAUGGAUGUUUAAGUCAGUUGUGAAAGUUUGCGGCUCAACCGUAAAAUUGCAGUUGAUACUGGAUAUCUUGAGUGCAGUUGAGGCAGGCGGAAUUCGUGGUGUAGCGGUGAAAUGCUUAGAUAUCACGAAGAACUCCGAUUGCGAAGGCAGCCUGCUAAGCUGCAACUGACAUUGAGGCUCGAAAGUGUGGGUAUCAAACAGGAUUAGAUACCCUGGUAGUCCACACGGUAAACGAUGAAUACUCGCUGUUUGCGAUAUACAGCAAGCGGCCAAGCGAAAGCGUUAAGUAUUCCACCUGGGGAGUACGCUGGCAACGGUGAAACUCAAAGGAAUUGACGGGGGCCCGCACAAGCGGAGGAACAUGUGGUCUAAUUCGAUGAUACGCGAGGAACCUUACCCGGGCUUAAAUUGCAGAUGAAUUACGGUGAAAGCCGUAAGCCGCAAGGCAUCUGUGAAGGUGCUGCAUGGUUGUCGUCAGCUCGUGCCGUGAGGUGUCGGCUUAAGUGCCAUAACGAGCGCAACCCUUGUUGUCAGUUACUAACAGGUCAUGCUGAGGACUCUGACAAGACUGCCAUCGUAAGAUGUGAGGAAGGUGGGGAUGACGUCAAAUCAGCACGGCCCUUACGUCCGGGGCUACACACGUGUUACAAUGGGGGGUACAGAGGGCCGCUACCACGCGAGUGGAUGCCAAUCCCAAAAACCUCUCUCAGUUCGGACUGGAGUCUGCAACCCGACUCCACGAAGCUGGAUUCGCUAGUAAUCGCGCAUCAGCCACGGCGCGGUGAAUACGUUCCCGGGCCUUGUACACACCGCCCGUCAAGCCAUGGGAGCCGGGGGUACCUGAAGUGCGUAACCGCGAGGAGCGCCCUAGGGUAAAAC
rnacentral:rRNA from 1 species